CGCCCCUCGCCCCUCGGCCCUGGCCCGGGGCCGCCCGCCGAGCCGGCCACACCCGCGGCGGAGGACUCGGAAAGGCAAGAAUCUCUUCUCAUCCCGUUCCCCAAGAGCCAGUUAUGGGCACUCCUCACCCAAAACAGGUACCAGCCAUCCCCAUUAGCCUCCAGGCAAAGGGCAGCUGCCCAGGUGAAUGGGGCAUCUGUUUCCAGGGGCGAGGAGGGAAGACUUCACCCAGAAACAAAGAAUUGAGACCAACUGAGACUGUCCCAGCCUCUUCCAAGACUGAAGAACCCCAGCUUCUGGGCUGAGGGCCCACAUGGAGGCUCCCUCCCCCACCCCUUUAACUUUAAAAUAGUUUAAUGAACACAGAGAGAGAAAUCAUUUUUUUUUUUUUUUCUGCGUGGUGAGCAGUCUACAAAGAGAAAGGGUAAAGGAGGGAGAGG
ensembl:lncRNA